CAAGGUUUUCCCAUGCUUCCCAAAAGCCAUAACCACUUUGAACUCACACAUGCACUGACUUCACAGUCUUACCCCCAACCCCCGGACUCUCUUCUACCCACCUACUGUGCAAUAUUUAAUAUUUAAUACUUUUGAUAUCGACAAUUC